rnacentral:rRNA from 1 species
UACGGAGGGUGCGAGCGUUGUCCGGAAUGAUUGGGCGUAAAGCGUCUGUAGGUGGCUUUUUUAAGUCCGCCGUCAAAAUCCCCAGGGCUCAACUCUGGACAGGCGGUGGAAACUACCAAGCUUGAGUACGGUAGGGGCAGAGGGAAAUUUCCGGUGGAGCGGUGAAAUGCGUAGAGAUCGGAAAGAACACCAACGGCGAAAGCACUCUGCUGGGCCGACACUGACACUGAGAGACGAAAGCUAGGGGAGCGAAUGGG